rnacentral:rRNA from 1 species
UAGUCUGGUGCCAGCAGCCGCGGUAAUUCCAGCUCCAAUAGCGUAUAUUUAAGUUGUUGCAGUUAAAAAGCUCGUAGUUGGAUUUCGGGUAGGGGGCGCCGGUCCGCUUCGGUGUGCACUGGCGGCCCAUACCUUCUUGUCGGGGAUGCGCUCUGGUAUUGGUUUAUCGGACGCGGAGUCGGCGCUGUUACUUUGAAAAAAUUAGAGUGUUCAAAGCAGGCUUUCGCUUGAAUACAUUAGCAUGGAAUAACAUGAUAGGACUCCGGUUCCAUUGUGUUGGUCUUCGGGACUGGAGUAAUGAUUAAGAGGGACAGUUGGGGGCAUUCGUAUUUCAUUGUCAGAGGUGAAAUUCUUGGAUUUAUGAAAGACGAACUUCUGCGAAAGCAUUUGCCAAGGAUGUUUUCAUUAAUCAAGAACGAAAGUUGGGGGCUCGAAGAUGAUUAGAUACCAUCGUAGUCUCAACCAUAAACGAUGCCGACUAGGGAUUGGCGGAUGUUACUUGAUGACUUCGCCAGCACCUUGUGAGAAAUCAAAGUCUUUGGGUUCCGGGGGGAGUAUGGUCGCAAGGCUGAAACUUAAAGGAAUUGACGGAAGGGCACCACCAUGGCGUGGAGCCUGCGGCUUAAUUUGACUCAACACGGGGAAACUUACCAGGUCCAGACACAAUAAUGAUUGACAGAUUGAUAGCUCUUUCUUGAUUCUGUGGGCGGUGGUGCAUGGCCGUUCUU